CCUACGGGGGGCUGCAGUGGGGAAUAUUGCACAAUGGGCGCAAGCCUGAUGCAGCCAUGCCGCGUGUGUGAAGAAGGCCUUCGGGUUGUAAAGCACUUUCAGCGGGGAGGAAGGCGGUGAGGUUAAUAACCUCAUCGAUUGACGUUACCCGCAGAAGAAGCACCGGCUAACUCCGUGCCAGCAGCCGCGGUGAAUACGGAGGGUGCAAGCGUUAAUCGGAAUUACUGGGCGUAAAGCGCACGCAGGCGGUCUGUCAAGUCGGAUGUGAAAUCCCCGGGCUCAACCUGGGAACUGCAUUCGAAACUGGCAGGCUAGAGUCUUGUAGAGGGGGGUAGAAUUCCAGGUGUAGCGGUGAAAUGCGUAGAGAUCUGGAGGAAUACCGGUGGCGAAGGCGGCCCCCUGGACAAAGACUGACGCUCAGGUGCGAAAGCGUGGGGAGCAAACAGGAUUAGAUACCCGAGUAGUC
rnacentral:rRNA from 1 species